rnacentral:rRNA from 1 species
CCCUUAGAUGUCCGGGGCCGCACGCGCGCUACACUGAAGGAAUCAGCGUGGCUUUCUCCCUGACCCGACAGGGUUGGGAAACCCGUUGAAUCUCCUUCGUGAUAGGGAUUGGGGCUUGAAAUUGUUCCCCAUGAACGAGGAAUUCCCAGUAAGCGCGAGUCAUAAGCUCGCGUUGAUUACGUCCCUGCCCUUUGUACACACCGCCCGUCGCUACUACCGAUUGAACGGUUUAGUGAGGGCCUCGGAUUGGUCUCGGCCCGCUCUUUACCGGGCGGCGCCGUUGGUCGAGAAGACGCUCGAACUUGAUCGUUUAGAGGAAGUAAAAGUCGUAACA